CUUCCUACUAGCUCUCCGGCCAGCUCCACAUCCUGGCUCAUUGACGCGAUGGUAUAAAAACUCAACUCCCGCUCCCGGCCGAGCUCGAUUAGUCCGGCAAGCAAUAAACGUGAAUCCCUUCCCCCGGUGAGGCCCAUUUUUAACCCAGACCCAAGGAAUAUCUCGCUUUCGUACAGAUACCGUUCCAAUGUUGUUAGAUACGUCUCGACUGCUUCGUCUUUUGAAAACUCCCCGUGCGCCUCGUCACGAA
rnacentral:misc_RNA from 1 species